rnacentral:rRNA from 2 species
UACAGAGGGUGCAAGCGUUAAUCGGAGUUACUGGGCGUAAAGGGCACGUAGGCGGUUAUGUAAGUCAGUUGUGAAAUCCCCGGGCUUAACCUGGGAACUGCAAUUGAUACUGUGUGACUAGAGUCGAAGAGAGGGAAGCGGAAUUUCCGGUGUAGCGGUGAAAUGCGUAGAUAUCGGAAGGAACAUCUGUGGCGAAGGCGGCUUCCUGGCUUCAGACUGACGCUGAGGUGCGAAAGCGUGGGUAGCGAACAGG